ensembl:lncRNA
CUGUGAACCUCGCACAAAGAAUACUUAGUUCAGGGAAGACAAAGUGAGUGAAGCAGAGUGGGAAGAUCAUAAGGGUAAAGAAGAGAGGCAACGGCAAGGCGGGCACUGGUGGCAAAGGCAAGGUGACAGAGAAGAAAAGGCAAGAGCACGGAAAUGCCCACUCCAAUGGCCCUAGUUCUUCUUUUAUAGGCCUCUAUUUCUCCUGAUCACUCAUCUUGCAGCAUCCUCAUUUCUUCCCCUCUGAAAACCCCCUUGUUAACUUUAUAAGCCAUGAUCAGUUGGUAAAUUCUUCAGCAAAGUGGCAGACCAAGCUGCCCCUGAAUGAGCAGGGCAGCUCCCUACAACCUCAAGAGAUGGAGUGGGUAUUGAAAGGGAGAAUUUCCAUAGUAUUUGUAGAAGAUGACCAGUAUUCUUGCCUGGAAAAUUCCAUGGGCAGAGGAGCCUGGUGGGCUACAGUCCAUGGAGCCACCAAGAGUCAGACACAACUGAGCAACUGAGCACACGGACAUAGAUGAUAGCUUUGCUGAUCACCAUCACACAUAGAUGAUAGCUUUCCUGAUCACCAUCACACACAGAUGAUAGCUUUGCUGAUCACCAUCACACAUAGAUGAUAGCUUUGCUGAUCACCAUCACACACAGAUGAUAGCUUUCCGGAUCUCCAUGAGACCUGUAGAGCAACACUGGCUCUCAAAUGUUGGACUGAAGAACAAGGCGGUACGCUCACCAACCACCAGGAACACGGCAUGCCUGAGCCACGCCAUCCACUGUCAGGAGCCAAGGGCAAGAAGGAAAACUGGGCCACCUCCUUGCUUUGUUAGAGAUGCCACACACCAGUUACUGCUUCUGGGGAGUAGAAAUGACAGAUUCUUCAAGAGGAGUUGCUGCUCCAAAUAGAAUAUGUUUGCUGCAUUAGGAAACAAAAUGGUACUCUUGUGCGUGAAUUCUAGAGCCAGAUGGACUGGGUCUAAAUCCCAGUUCCAUCCCUGUGUGAACUCGGAUGUUUAGCUUAACUUCUCUGUGCUCCACUUUCAUUAUCUAUAAAAUCACAAUAGUAGUGGUGAUUUUAUAGAUGGUGUAUCCUAUAUAGCGAUCAUGUGGAUUAAAUGAGUUAAUAUUACUAAGGACUUAGAACAGAGCUCUACCCAUAAUAGUGCUGUUCUUUAAACUUUUUAUUUUGGAAUAAGUAAUGGCCUCUUAAGAGUUUGGCAUAUAUUAUUUGUGUUUCUGCUGUUGCCGAUCUUUAAAUCAAUGUUUUGUAAUAAGUGAAAUGCCUUUAGCUCCAGUCCCACCUCGUUUGUAAAAAAAAGUCCACAGCUAAUCCAUCCUUCACUGACCCCCUAUAUCUGUACUGGGAAUCGAAUGAAUAUUUGCU